rnacentral:rRNA from 1 species
UACGAAGGGGGCUAGCGUUGCUCGGAAUCACUGGGCGUAAAGCGCACGUAGGCGGCUUUUUAAGUCAGGGGUGAAAUCCUGGAGCUUAACUCCAGAACUGCCUUUGAUACUGAGGAGCUAGAGUCCGGAAGAGGUGAGUGGAACUGCGAGUGUAGAGGUGAAAUUCGUAGAUAUUCGCAAGAACACCGGUGGCGAAGGCGGAUCUCUGGGCCGAUACUGACGCUGAGGAGCGAAAGCGUGGGGAGCGAACAGG